CGCGCUCCUCCUACCCUCUAAGUGUAUUGUUCGCGUGUGUGCGUGCGUGCGUGCGUGUGUGUAUACGUGUGUCUGUUACGCGUGUGCAAACGAGCCUCUCCUCUCGUCCGUGUGACCUGCGGUUUCUCUGGCGUUUUCCUACCCUUAGUAGCGCGAGCACAGUGCAUCCAUCCAUCCAUCCGCCAGUCCGUGGGCCGUCACUCGUCUCGCCGCGAAGCGUAGUACCGCGGGACACGAGGGUGCUUGCGCGACCGCUCUCUUUCUAACGCGAGCGCGCGUUGUCAGCGCGCGCCGACGCUCUAACUACACGCGCGCGAGUCGAAAUUCCGACGCGACGCGAGCACACCGAGUCGUCCUCGUCCGCGGCACGAACCCCGACGCGACUUUCUUAUAAACUGCGAACUCUCCGUCCGUGCACGUACGUUAUCGUUUCUUCAUUCUUCCCCUCGACGUCGAGGGUGCAGUCUCGGAACAGAAAGCACGAUGCCGCGAUGACAGACGGAUUGUCGAUUUGUGACGAGUGCGAUCGGCGAUCAGUGCAAGUAACUCGAGAAAAGUGAUGGCACGAUAGAGGAAGAGGCAGUCUCGGUAUUACUCGACGCUUUACACUUACGCGGGUGGACGGUAAAGAGAACGGAAAGCGAAAAGGAGAGAAGUCACGCUCCAGUGUCAGACUGCGCGGAGCGAACAUGUAGUGGUGAGGGAGAAAAAGGAGAAAAGAGAGAGAGGGAGGAAGAGAGAGGUAAAGAGAGAAAGAGGGGAGGUGUAGAGGUAGGUGGCGGCGGACGACGUAGAAGGAGAGGGCGACUCCACGAAGGGUGGGCCAUCCAAGUGUCUUGUCUCCUAUCAUCCUGUCGUCCAGGGUAUCGCUUACGAAUGUCGCGCGAUCGAGCGAUCCGUUUGCGAUCCACGACGACGACGACGACGACGACGCGCGAGGACGACGUCCUGACGACGGCCGCGCAUCGACUACCGACCAGCCGCGCGGCAACCAAUCUCUUCAUUUGAGUCAACGUGACGGCAAAACGCUUCACGUACCUGUGUGUGUGUGUGUGUGUGUGUGUGUGUACGCGCGCGCGCGUGUGUGUGUGUGUGUGUGCGUCGUCCUCGUGAUACGCGAUCGUCCGAGGUCGCGGACAGUCGCCGGGUCGCGUCGCGCGAGACGAUGACGAUGACGCCGGGCACCGCUUAGCCGACGUCGAACAGCCCCGAAUAUAGAACCAAGAGUACCGAAACGUCGUCGACGAGAACGACGCGCGGCUACGAAAGCACCGGGGAACGAAAGCUUCCCUACCUCCAAGUCGUUCCAAGAGCCGUCGUAACGGGCUAGCUGGGCUAGCCGCGGAAGAAGUGCCGCAACAACGAGUCUCCCCGGCUGUUUGCAAAAGGCCGUUUGAAAGAAUGUCCGGCGAGACGGAAAUCGAGGUGUCGGUCGUGUCGGAGGAGGAUCUGGAACUGGAGGGAUCCAGGAGCAGUUCCACCCCGGCGGAACUGCUGCUGCAGGAGAAGAACGGCAAGUCCGGCUGCGGCCUAAGCAAUCAUCAUCACUCCUUCAGCUUCGACACGGUGAGCAAGCCGGCGCUCAGGCCUGCCUGCAAUCCGCAGUACACGUCCUUCAGUAUCUCCAGCAUCCUCGGCAGACCGGAAUCGCCGCCUGUCGACUCGACGACUUCCACGGGAUCUGGCGAGAGGCAAUCGUCGGACGUCGACAGAACGUCGCCGCCGUCGCUACCCCCGGCAAACUCGCAGAACUCGCAGAGGAUCCCGCCGUCGGGCGCCAGUCCCAGCGGCAGAAUCUCGUCCUCCCCCACGUCCCUGAGACUGUCCGGCGGUCAACGUGGCGGACUGUCCACUACCGGUCACCCCGGGCUGGAGCCCAGAGCGAAUUCCACGGGUAUCGGUAUCGGAUGUGCUACCAGUGCUACCAGUCCAGCUGCGACCUUCUCGCCGCCCGGCGAUGCCUCUGCCAAUCCACUACUAGGACACCAGGCCUCGGCGGAUCUCGCGAUGCUGUCAAGAUUGAUAGCGAGUCGAUACCCAGUCGGCAUCGGCGGUUUGUUCUACCCCUCGACGCUGCAGCAUCUCCAUCAGCAGCAACAGCAACAGCAUCAGCAUCAUUCGCGGCUAGCCGCCGCAGCCUCGUCCGCCCUCAGCAACGCUGUACAGGUCGCCGGCCAAUCGCCGGACAUCGUCGACGCCGAUGGCAUCCGCGGCGUUCUACUCGGCGGCGCCGGCUGGCCGUUUCCAUGGAGGCCGGCGCACGGCCUGCAGACACUCGAGCAUCCCUCACCAAGCGAUGUGGUCGGCACCCUCAGCCGCGUCAGUCCCGCGUCCGCUUCUUUCCCGCAGCGAGACGAGCUAGACGACGACAACGACCGCGAUGAUCGUCUGCAUCGCGCGAGGAGUCCGUCAAGCGGUGACGAGGUGCACGACGACCUCGGCGAUGCUGACGACUGUGGGGAUGCCGAUGGAGAAGGCGAGUCCACGUCGACGAGUCUUCACGGUACUUCGGUAGGCGGUGGUGGCGGGGGUGGUGGCGGUGGUGGCGGCGGCGGUGGUAGCGGUGGUGGCAACGGUAACAGCAACGGUGGCCAAAACAACGUGCAAGUCGGGGUGGACGGUCGCGAGUCGAACAGCAUAAAGCGCAAGAAAAAGACUAGAACGGUCUUCUCCAGGUCGCAAGUGUUCCAGCUGGAGAGCACGUUCGACAUGAAGCGUUACCUCUCGUCGUCGGAGCGCGCAGGGUUGGCCGCCUCGCUCAGGCUGACGGAGACUCAGGUGAAGAUCUGGUUCCAGAACCGGCGAAACAAGUGGAAACGGCAAUUGGCCGCCGAGCUGGAGGCGGCAAACAUGGCGCACGCCACUCAGAGGCUGGUCAGGGUGCCGAUCCUGUACCACGAGGCGUCAGCCAGCACCGGCACUUCCGCCGGCGUGCCCGUGUCGGUGACGGGAGCACCGGGAGCGCCGGUGCCGCAGGUUCCGUCUUCGGUAGGCGCGACCUCCGCCCUCUCGCACUCGGUCGGCGUCGGCGUGGGCGUCGGCGUCGGCGUCGGCGUCGGCGUCGGCGUCGGUGUCGGCACCUCGUGCGCGCCCACCACGGCGCAGCCCAUCUUUUACUCCCAUCACCAUCAACAUCACCAUCACCACCCGGCGGCAGCCCACGUGCAGGCGCACACUCUCCUAUCCCACCAGGUGCACCCGCAACCGCCGCCCCCACCCCCGCCGCCGCCAAACGGCCAACCACCGCGGACGUCCUCGCAAUAACACCGUCCGACGACUUACGAGGGUAGCGUGCGGUUGCUGCGAGAGACGACCACCAUGAAUAACAAGAUCAUCUCCGUGAACGACGGCGCAACGGCGACGACUUCUUGUCGCCUGGACCGUGCUGCUGUCUGGCUGAUCGACGUCGAUGAGUGAACGCACGCACGAUUAUCGACAAGAACACAGACCUCUCCCGCGACAUCCCCUGAUCGUCCCGUCAUAUCACGAAUCCGGUGGCACGACUGUCCCCUCGCCGCGCCGGUAAUUCGAGAGCAUUGGAGUUCGAAAAUGCUUUUCUAACGCGGACCGCGUUAGACGCGGUGGAUAAAUGUGAGUAUACGCGAGAAAUGUAGAGUUUUGAUUCGCUUUCUACGCUUCUAUGUCUCCAUUACGUAAGGGAAGUUGUUUUAUACGAUUCAAAUUGUAUUUUAUUUUCAUAUAGGUGACACGUCCUAGCAAUAAUCGUUUUAUUGAACAGAAAAACUCGUGGUUAUAUAUUUAUAAUGGAGAAGCUAAUAUAUAAAACACAUUUUUAGUGUAUAUAUACUCAUAAAUAAAAGAAUAUGUAAAAAUAUUUUAUUUAUAUAAAUUUCAAUAGUAUAACAUGACAGCAAUAAAUAAAAUUAUGUUCUCUCAUAAGUUUCAACUGACUUGAAACUCUACGUUUUCUGAACGGCGGCUUAUACUCAUGUCUAUUCACACACAUCUUUUAUUAUUAUCUAGAAAAAUAUGAUCUCUUGCAAAUAUAAUUUGAUAAAAUUAUUUUUAACGCUUGAUAAGAAGACUUUAAGUCAAUUUGUUUACCUCGAAAUAAAUUAUCAAAAAAAAAUGUAUCGAAUUGAUACAACACACGUUGUUCCAGUAAUCAUAUUGCCAUAAAAAUAAUACUAUUGUCGAUUAUUCUGUUUAGCUUCUGGAAAAGUAAGACAUUUUGAUUUGCAUUUUUUUUUUUACCGAGCCACAGAAAUAUUUGUGCUAGUCCGCGCAAUUAUACAGAAAAUUUAACUGUGAUUAUAAUGAUUUUGUGUCGCUUCCAUGAGCCACGGGCGACGAAAGCUGGUCACGAAGUCGUACGGUUUCCCUUUCGGUUUAUUCGCUGAUAUAAUAAUAGCGUAUUGUUCCUUGCUACUGCUCUCGGUUUGUCAGCGUAUAACGGGAUACAAAAUUUCACGAUACCGCAAUCGACGGACGGAAAUUGGACUCAGUUUGCGUCAUCAUAUGUACUUGGGAUCUUUGUUGAUAGUAUAGUGUACAUAUAUUAAAAUAGCAAUUCUUCGAUUGUGCGCGUGAAAAAAGACGAUUCGCGCACGAGAAACGCGAGAAUGAAAAUUUUCAAACCGUCCCUAAUUGUGCGACGCUUGAUAUUUUAAUUAUUGUCGAACCGUAUCCGUUUCUCUAGUAUUCGUUUUCCUUGUAAAUAGUUCUUUGCGCGAAGUGUAAAUUCAUAUUUAGAAUUCCGUGUGCGUCGAGGGGAACGCGCUGUGGACCGGUGACCGGAGCUGCUCCGUUAAUAUAAUUCAGGGAUUAAAACAACUUCGGCGAGUUCAAUUUUUAAUAAUCGAGUGACACGGAGCAGUGACUCCCAUGCGAUUGUCGCAUUUUCAUCGUCGUGGAUACAAGCGCGGAGAAACGAUUUCCGUGCGAUCUACAGAAAAUUUGAACUCGCUGAAAUUGCUCGCUCGUAUUUAAUACCUGAUGUAACCGGGAUUCGCAGUGGUUGUAAAAAAUUGGACACACGUGUAUAACAUAUAUACAUAGACACGCAGCAAGCAGCUCACAUACAUACACACACAUGCACGUACACACGAGACACAGGCAGGUUCCUACGAUAUAUUCCACCUGUUGUGAUAAGUAUCUAAACAAAUAAUUUUAUUAAACAGAACGGUAGAACUACGAAAUACCGCCUCUCUCACAUUGUAUAUCACCUAUCUAUAGACGUCAAUUAAGGAGAAGGUUCGCCGUGCCGUGUUUUAUACGGACAUUUGUGAUCCAGGAUCUUGAAUUAUUGUAUAGCCGAUCGUUUCGUAAUCGCAAAAAUAAUGACCGUUGAACCAUACCAUACACGUCGUCCGAAUUUCUUCUACUCAAGAUCUGUACCGAACUGGUGAGCGUUGAUCUCGCCAGCAAGGUAAUGGACGAACGUUACUAGAUUCGAUGACAUUUGACGGGAUCGACGAACGGUUGAAUAAAAAUACGAAUACCUACGUUUAAAUUGCGCUUUUUUUCUACCGUGGCGCCCAUAAAGAGAUAGCAACGAAACAAUGGAACGCGCACCGGCAGCGUUCACAUAAAAAUCCCGCGAGGUCCGCGCGGGAUUAAAAUUAAUUGUUGCGUGGCUUCACAAGAGGCCCUCGUAACUAAACAAAUUGACACAGAGAUAAAACGUAGCGUUCGCCGCUUUCGAAAUCAAAAAUCAACGGGUGAUUCUUUGAUGGAAUCGCUAUUCGAACGGAUCGAGAAGCACGUCAGUUAAUAAAAUCUAGUGAUUCACAUUUACUUUGCCGUCUGCACUCGUAGAGAUGAGAACGAGAAGAAAGAAAAAUUUAUGAGACGGAAGUGAUCACCGAGUAUAAAAGCGACUUCAAGUAUAAAAGAAAUUCUAUUAUAUUUUACAAAUUUCUAAAUUCCUUACGUAUAAAUAUCAAAAAAUAUGAUAUAACAUAAUAAAUUCUCUCAAAAUUGCAAGUUAAAAAUAUCUAAAAUUUCUCUAUGAAAUCCUAGAAUUUAAAAACGAAGAAAUACGUUCAUUAUAUCUAAAUAUUUUCCACAGAAAACCAAUCGUUUCACAGCUAAUUUGCGGAAAGCUUUUUCUUGAAGCAAUAAAUCAGUGAAUUGUGAGUAACAUCAACGAGAAGGUACUUGAGGAAAAAACUGAAAUCAAUUAAUGCAUGAAUCAUUUCCUACGAGUCCGAUAAAUCGCUCUUCAAAAGUUUUAGAUUCAUCAGUUGGAAAUAGAACGAUCAAAAAUAAAACGAUCAGCAAAACUUCGACACACAGAGAAAAAGGUAUAUACAGAUAGAUACUCUUAGAUAUUCGUUACGAUGCACAUAUCUCGCGUGUACCGUACGAUUAUUUUCUUUUAACAAAAUUUUUUUGCAUAUCGAUAAAUGUUCCUAGAGAUCUCUAUAUCCAUAUAUAGAGAUCAGAAUAUUCAAACAAUACAGGAGUGUUUAUUGGACGUCUGUGGUUAUAGCGUGUCCUAUCGCUACGCAAUCAAAAAUGCAUACAAUUAUUCGCGUACGUGUGUGUAGCUUUUCACUCGCCAUUCACUCACGCACGUUCGUCAAGUGCGUAACGCAGGCGGCACGCGUACGCGUAUUUACACGCAUCGCUCCUCGCGUCCUCCGCCACGAAACUGGCAACGCGACCACGAAGGAAGACCAAUGUGACAAUGCACCUGCACCGCCCACAUUCCGCAUCCGCUGCACAUACAGCCGCCAACACAGCGUGUUCUGAAUAACAGGGUGAACGCACGGUCGAUUUAUCGUGGCCCAUUAUCGCCGUCACGAUCGUUCCGUGACCGUUAUUACCCGCCCGUAAAGAAGACUCGUGGCCGGAUAAUUACUCUAAUGGAAUAAUUUUUUGGAAAAAUCUAUCGUCGAUGCCGCAGACGCGCACGACACGGCAACAACAAAGGCCACACCUCCAAGAAACGGCGAUCCGAGAAUCGUUAACCGCACGUAAAUUCUAUAAAAGGAAAGAUUAAACGUAAAAAUAAACGAAUACAUAUAUCGAGCUCGAUUAUCAUCGCGUUACUAAUCGUCAGAGAACGAACACAAAUUACAAAAAAUAUGUAAGCCUCUCGAUCAAAAAAUAUUUAAGCAAAUGUAUUUUAAAACCUAUAAUUUUAUUCAACACAAAAUAAAAAAUUCUUUUGUAUAUGAUAAACUUUUCCUUAAAUAACUUUUACAUAGUACGUGAAACACAAGAAAAUCUAUUCUAGUGAUAUUUCAUAAUUUUUUUUUUAUUCUUUUAAAAUGAUAAUUGUUAAUAUAUCACUUUUGAUGUUACCGCAGAUCUCGAGAUUUACCAUAAUAAAUUUUUGCUGGCGACAAUUUUACAUAUUUACGGUAACAGAAAACAAAAACCAAUGUCAGAAUACGUUUUAUAGCCCAUUGGGACUCCAAGGGUUUAGAUUAAUAUUUAUGACGUUCCGUAAAAUGUAUCCAUGUUGGAAAGAAAACUUUUGUCCCGUGUAUCCCUAAUCGUCCUCGCAAUCUUACGUUUUACUUUUUCACACCAAUUCUUUACGUCAAAAUGUAACAUAUUUUCAAAGAUGUAAGAAAAAGCAUUAUUCUUUAAAUAAUCAGAUUAUGCUCUAAAUGCCUAACAUGCAAAUGUUCAUUAUUACGAAUAAAAUCGGACUAUCUCUAAAAGUGUGAUUAUUCGAAUUGCCACACGUCAACGUAUUACAAUUCGCGAUGUUCCACUCUUUAACAUCGAGUUGAACGCAUGCGGUUCUCAGCAUUCGCAUUCGCCCAAAACAGUUCUCGAAAUCGACGAUAAAACUCGUCUCGGGGUAGAGAAUACGAGGCCUGACACGGCGACAAAGAGGGCGAAAGAAAGGGAGGAAGGGAACAGGAUGGAGAAAGAGCGAAAGCGAACAAGAAGAGAGAAAGAAAGAGAAAGAGAAAGAAGGAGAAGGAGAGAGAGUCAAUGGGUAUAAGCACUAAGCACGUAACUAUAAAAGGAGCCGGGGGUUGCGAAUCGUCGCUAGAUUAAAAAGAGGCUCCCUUUUUCGCUUGCUCUUUUAUGCCGAUGCGCGCCGCGCCCCACACGCAUCGCGUACGGCCUCCUCCUCCUCCUCCUCUUUCACCUCCUUCUCUUCGUCCUCGUCUGUAACGUUAACGUUACACGCACUUGCAUGUGAGCAUCACAUGCACAUUCGCACAUUCACGCGCAUCCGAUAUCUCGCGACCGUCCGUCCGCUGGAAAAGCAAUUCGAUCUGCCGGUGCGAUGGGGUACAGCCACCCUCUUUUCUCUCUCUCUCUCUCUCUCUCUCUCUCUCUCUCUCUCUCUCUCUCUCUCUCUCGCUUCUUUUUAUCUCUCCAGACCUGCUCAAGCGUCGGAUUUCCUGAUGCUGAAUUCGACUUCGCGAUGUAUGCCCACUCUCGCGUUUAUCGGAAAUGCGAAUUGCGGCGAGCGCGAGCGUGACGUUUGUCGAGAAUAUCAGCAACUACCUUAAAUACGACUUGAUUAAAUCGUAUAAUACAGUUGGAAAAUAUUCCCAGUAAAAAUAUUACUCCACUUGAUAUCAAUUAAAAAUUUAUCUAUCUAUUUAAAGCGCUUUUAAGUAGUAAAAUGUCUUUCAAAUAAAUCUCUGUAAUAAAUAGUUUCUCUCAAAUUUGAGUUACUUUACUUCUUUAUAUCGUUUUGUCUAAAAAAAUUAAAAAGAUGAUAACAUAUUAACAAUUUGAUUUAAAUUAAAUAUCAAAAUAUAUAAAUAUAUGUAUAUAAAAAUAAUUAAACAUGUAAAUUAAAUAAUUAUUUUUGAAAGAUGCUUAAUCCGCAUGAAAAGUAACUGUAACACCAUUCCAAAUUCAUUUAAAAUUUAACACAUGCCAUAUACACAUUAGCACGAGUGGUUAUAUUUUUUACGCGUGCACGCAAGUCACAUUUAAACAUAAUAUACGUUCUGUAUCAUAGCAUGAAUACUUAGAGAAACAAUGAUUAGAGUAAGUGCCUAACAUCGUAACACGCACAUAAUAUCUGCGAACAGACAAUGCACGUCUAUCC
rnacentral:misc_RNA from 1 species